AAACCUCCCAACAAGCCUGCAGGGGAAGCUAUUACAUGCUCCAGAGCUGAAGGCUCUCAGGGUUACACAGCUCGCUCACCGGUGGCUGUUCACCACAUCUGAACUGACACCCUUUGAACUCCAAAUCUGCUGUCCCACAUCACAUCCUAAUAUGCUUUUAAUUUUUUUUUAAAUGUCUCCAGAAGUCAGCAGCUGUCUGAAGCUUUCCAAAGACUUGAAACUCAGUUUAAAAAAAAGAAAUGGAAAAUUCUGCUCAUCUUGCAGCUCAGCUGCAGGGCGGAUCUGGGAGCAGCUGUCCCUCGGGGAGAUGGCCAGGCAGCCAAAUGGACAGCUCUAUAAGACUCAAGCCGACAGCGGAGAGAGCGCAAUUGAACAGCCUUGGCGCAGCUUUCAGAGGAGAACGUUCUUCACCCCAACUGCUCUGCAUCUGCCUGGACAUCUGCCAAGAUCUGUGAGCACUACAGCGUUGCAGUCUUCUUUAUUCCACCAAUGACUUCGCUCGCGGUGCUUCCAGAAGCCAAGAAGUGGACUUUGCCCUUGGGGAUUUAGGAGGCAGAGUGGCGCCCCCUGGAGGCCACAUGGUGGAGGUGGCUAUGAGGCCUGGAGUCUACAAUUUAGAUUGAAUCACAGGAAGAAGCUAUUUACACAAGUCAAACAUGCUUCAAUGUUGGCAAUUUCAUAAGAUUCCAAUCCUUAAGGGAUCAAAGCCUGGCCACCUGCUUCCACCGAGAGGUGUACCUUUCCAUGCCAGGCUUGGAGCAUCCCUCUUUGUUUAAAAAGGAGAGGAUUCCGAAGCAGAACUUCUCAAGCUCUUCCACCCAAAUCCCCUCACCACAGGGACAGGAGUCCUGGGCAUGCAGCCUAAAGCAGCCAGGAGAAAAACUUUGACCUUAAUUUUUUAAAAUGAUUUCACAUGAAUCAAUGGAAUGUGUUUAUGAUAAAAUCAUCUCCUCCUGAAAUACAUGUGUAAAACUACUGCCCCAGUUAAAUGCACUUAGUCUAACCGAGCCCUAGGAUUGGCCUCUCCAGCGUGAGAAGCAUUGCCAGCACUCCAGCUCCCCAGGUCCCACUCUGGGAUCCCACCUCCUCAGAUCCUCCCACUUCCUCACACUCUCUGGCCUCUCGCUUUUGACCCUGCUCCCACCACGCAUCCUUUCCUCAGAGUCCAUCAGUCCUCUCUUGUUUUCACCUUGGUCUCUGCCAAGUGUGGGUCCAAGUCACACAUGUAGACUGUGAUCACAGGGCCUCCAAGCUCCAGAUCUCCCAAAACACCCUAUGGAGAGACCUUACCUUCCUGGAUAGGCCUUCUCCCCACAGCUAGACCUCACCCUCUGGGUAAACCCAUCUCCCCAACUAGAACUCACCCUCCGGAGUAGACCCCAUCCCCCCAGCUAGAUCUCAUCCUCCUGAACAGAUCCCAUCACCCCAGCUAGAUCUCAUCCUCUUGGGUAGACCCAUCUCCCCAACCAGAACUCACCCUGCUGGGUAGACCCUUCUCCCCAGCUAGACCUCAUCUUCUGGGUAGACCCCAUUCCCCCAGUUAGACCUCACCCCUCUGGGUAGAUCCCAUCCCCUCAGCUAGACCUCACCCUCCUGGGUAAACCCCAUUCCUCCAGCUAGACCUCACCCUCCUGGGUAGACCCCAUUCNNNNNNNNNNACCCCAUUCCUCCAGCUAGACCUCACCCUCCUGGGUAGACCCCAUUCCUCCAGCUAGACCUCACCCUCCUGGAUGGACUCGACCCUCCCGGAGAUAGCUUCCCCUCCUGGGUAGACCCCAGUGGCUACACACCUCUCCUCCCACCAGCUUUCUCCCCCAGGGUUCUGGGCAGCAGAGUGUCUCUGUGAAAAGGAUACUAAGUGAUUCCCCAAUAUUUCCAUUUCCAGCCUCUGGUUGGCUCUCCCUGGGGCUAAUGGUUCUUCGCUCACUAUUUCUCCAGGCUUUGCCUGAUGACAAGUAUAUUCUGAGACUGCUCUAAUGAUAUAGAUUUUGGACCCCAUCCCAGUUCUACUGAAUCCGAGUCUCUGGGGGAGGAGUUGGGGCUCUGCAUCUGGACACUUCCUGCAGGGCCCCUCCUGGGAGGCAAGCCCGAGGAGCACUGCUGAGGCUCGCCUCAGUGCCCAUCCUAGACCUUCAGCAGCCAGCAGAGGAUGUCUCCGCCGUCCCUCAGCCCUGAUUCCCACUGUCACCCCAGCCGGGCUUGGCACUGCCUCCUUUCUCACUCAGAAGAUUAAGGCCAUCUGUUCUGUGCUUCCCAAGUUUCCCACCCUCCACCCUAAAAAUUUCUCCCUGUUUCCCAGUCUUUCCUCUUCUCUUAGAAAAUAAACUUCUUCCCAGGCUGCCUCUCUGGGGGGUC
ensembl:lncRNA